CCUACGGGUGGCUGCAGUGGGGAAUAUUGGGCAAUGGGGGAAACCCUGACCCAGCAACGCCGCGUGAGGGAAGAAGGUUUUCGGAUUGUAAACCUCUGUUCUUGGGGAAGAGAAGAAGACGGUAACCAAGGAGGAAGCCCCGGCUAACUACGUGCCAGCAGCCGCGGUAAUACGUAGGGGGCGAGCGUUGUCCGGAAUGAUUGGGCGUAAAGGGUGCGUAGGCGGCGAUGCAAGUCAGAAGUGGAAGUCCUGCUUUCAAGGUAGGAAUUGCUUUUGAAACUGCAUGGCUUGAGUGCAGGAGAGGUUAUCGGAAUUCCCGGUGUAGCGGUGAAAUGCGUAGAGAUCGGGAGGAACACCAGUGGCGAAGGCGGGUAACUGGACUGCAACUGACGCUGAGGCACGAAAGUGUGGGGAGCAAACAGGAUUAGAUACCCCAGUAGUC
rnacentral:rRNA from 1 species